rnacentral:rRNA from 1 species
UACGUAGGGGGCAAGCGUUGUCCGGAUUUAUUGGGCGUAAAGGGCUCGUAGGCGGCCAACUAAGUCAGACGUGAAAUCCCUCGGCUUAACCGGGGAACUGCGUCUGAUACUGGAUGGCUUGAGUUUGGGAGAGGGAUGCGGAAUUCCAGGUGUAGCGGUGAAAUGCGUAGAUAUCUGGAGGAACACCGGUGGCGAAGGCGGCAUCCUGGACCAACACUGACGCUGAGGAGCGAAAGCCAGGGGAGCAAACGGG